AAGCCAAGUUGGGUCUCAUAGGUUGUUAUGACAAGGCCAAUGUCAUGUGGUGGAUUGGGAUUCCGUGACAUAGAGCACUUCAAUCUUUCCCUUCGUGCUCAGCAAGCAUGGUGUAUCCUUACGGACCCAACCGCUUUGAGUGUCAGAAAUCUCAAGUUUAAGUACCAUCCCUCAUGUGAUUUUCUCGAUGCCGAAAAUGGGAGCUCUCCAUCUCAGGUAUGGAGAUCGAUCACGGAUGGGCGUGAUACAAUGAUCCAUGUACUAAUAAGAAGAGUUGGUGUUGGUACGACCACUCAUAUAUGGCGGCAGAAUAGGAUUCCAAGGCCUUUAAUACGAUUCCUAUUGUUAGUUUGGUAA
rnacentral:rRNA from 1 species